CUCGUUAUGAUUAAAUCAAAUUGAGUGUUCAAUCCGUUGCCUAGGUACAGGCAAAACAUGGCUAGUGAAAGCGCCAUCCUCCGGUGUCAGUAGCGUCAGGCCUUCAAUAACAAGUGUAUUGCUACGUAACUCCAUACUUACCUCGAUAGGGUCAAUGGGCGAUCUGGAAGGCCUAUGGCCUAGGUCAGUGACCUCCAUUGCACGUUAGGAGGGGUGGUGGCCUAAGGUCUCCCCAAGCAGGAGAGCCUAUGUCAUAAUUUGUGGUAGUAGUGGAAGCCUGCGUGCACGCGGCUCCUUCCAAGUUAAUCUCUGAAAUUUUAUUUAACUUGGUAAUUAUGUGAAACUGGUAAAAAGUGUACAUGUACUGCAUAAUCUGUGAACUAAUUUGCUCAAGAAAAAUUCAAAGAUUGUAUGCUGAAUAAUGAGUUAGAUAUCAUGGCAUUGAUGUCAACAAGGGAAAAAAAAAAACUUGAGCAGGAUGAAGGCUACUUAGAAUUAUAGAAUAACUACUUUGAUAUGGCUUUCAUGAAUCGGUUUAGCGAAGAGAAAAUGCCUGCUGCUUUGUUGAAAAUAGAUGGUCCCUGUUCUGAUUUCUCUUCCCCAUUUCCGAAUAUUAUCUCGAGUUCUUCAGCAUCUGGACGCCUUAUGAAUUCUUUGGCAAGAAGAUACCUGUUCGGUCUAUCUUUAUCGUCAUAAAAUACCUUCCACAUACUGAUCAAAAUCAGAAUGAAAAGAGAAAGGAAUGAAGUUAUCAAAUAGAAUCAGCUGCAUCAAAAGAACAGAACAGAACAUUAAUUGGCUGUGUAGAGAUUUCUCAAGGUAGACUAGAUUGCAUUUUGCACUGUGGUAAGGGUCUCCAUAGUCUGCAAUAAACAUGUGUGUGCAUUUCUCAAUCAUCUGGCAUAGGGUAACCCAAAAUUGGGUAACAGGAGUAGUUCAUAUUUUAAUCAUAAAAGGGGUAACUGUAAGUUCAGAGCAAUUAAAAGUAGAUUCAAAUGAGAACAAAGAUGCCUAAAACUGUAUGAUAAAUGCAGAAGGGCACUCACCCUGGAUAACACCUAAAGACAGCACCAGAUGGCAGAGGUCUCAUUGAGUAAACUGUGGUGAAAGUGCUAAAAAAAAAUCGCCUUAAAUUGCGAACAUUAAUCCCAACACCAACAUCUUCACUGAUGAGACGAGGGUUCCACAUGAUGAGUGGCCUUGGCUAGCAAAAUUUGAGAACUAUCAUCAGCACUAUAUUUUUAUGUUUCAAGUGAUUUGCAUGAAAGAAGAAAUUAUAACUGGUUCUAAAGUCAAAGUGCAUAUGAUGAUCAUUGCCUGUUUUUAAGGAGUGACAGAGUUAGUUUAGUACCGGAUCAUCAGACAGACUGGACGCAAUUUUCUGUACAUAUCCCAACAUCUGGUAAUCAGGAACAACCAUAACCACAAUCUCAUCUUCGCUCCCAACAGGCUUCCGGUCGCUUAAGCUUGCAAAUCCAAAAGCUGCAUCUUUCCACUGAUAUUUUAGCAGUGCAGCAGCACCAGCAUCUGGAAAUAUGGCUUUAAUUCUCUGCAGAUUAAAUUUCCCACUUUAGCAAAGCAAAGUUCAGAAUUGAAUGUGUAUAAGCUAAAGUUGCAAAUUGGAAGAAGCCGUAUACCUUUGGCAAUCAGUAAAAUUUUCAUCCUCUUGCAGUCGACAGCCUUUAAAUCUACUUCUUACAGGGGAGGUAGAAAUACAGAAAUUUUAUUGUUUUCAUGUCUCUAAGUUACAAUAUUGGUGAAGACAGGAAUUACGACCAGCCCAUGCCAAUUCCCCAGCAUUUACCCAGCACACAGACACUAUGAUUUUGUCAUUUUUUUUGGCUUCUUUAAAACAAAAAAAUGGUUGCCCACUGGCAUAAAACAAAAUCGAGUAAUGCUCAACUUUGAUUAAGAACCUUAUAUACCUAAGGCUUUAUCUUCUAAUCCUGCGCAUUUAAGUUCAUUAAAAGUACAAACCUGACAUCCUGUUUCUUCAAUAAGUUUAUCCAAGAAAAUCCUUGAAAGUUCCCAGAGCUCAGCUUGUGCACCUUCAUCAUCUAGAAACUGCAACUGAGGAAUUAAGAGCUCAACUAUGGCUCUCAUGCCUCCUGAAGAUACAAACAAGGCACUUGCUUGGCUGGAUUGCCAGACUGCACCCUCCAAGUCAGAAGGCAAGCAGCUGUCAUCUUCUUCCUUUUCUUCUAGUGGCUGCGCCUGUAACUGGGUAGUCUCUUCAAGAUUGUCCUGCAGGGGAGAUUCACCUUGGAAUUUCUCAAACUUACCACAGAUUCUUGAGCUAGAAUAACUACUACUUAGUGAAAUCCCAUCAAGGCCAUUAAAGAUAGGAUUUGGGAAGGGUAAAGCAAAACGAGUGGCUGACGUUGUAUUGUUUGACAUCAGUGAUGGAGAGUUGGGGUAGAAGAAGGAGCAACUCGGGAUUGAAGCAGCCAUGGAAAUUAACUACCAACUACCAAACUGCCCUUGAAAUAUGUACCGUAUAUUAUCGUUUUAUUUAUCAAAAUUUGCAGAGAAAUAUUAGCAUUCCGG
rnacentral:misc_RNA from 1 species